rnacentral:rRNA from 1 species
UACGGAGGGGGCGAGCGUUAUUCGGAAUUAUUGGGCGUAAAGGGCGCGUAGGCGGCUUGACAAGUCAAAGGUGAAAUCCCUCGGCUCAACUGAGGAACUGCCUUUGAAACUGUCUGGCUUGAGGCCGGGAGGGGGGUAGCGGAAUUCCCGGUGUAGCGGUGAAAAUGCGUAGAGAUCGGGAGGAAGGCCGGUGGCGAAGGCGGCGCUCUGGAACGUUUUCUGACGCUGAGGCUCGAAAGCGUGGGGGAGCAAACAGG